CCCUGGAUGUACACGCACCCGGAAGUACACGCACCUUGAUUUCAUGUUGUUUAUUUGAUCCCGACUGCAAACAGAGAGGAGAGAUGGAGCUGGUGACUCAGGCAACAGUCCGUGCUCUCGCUGCUGUCCAUUGUAUCCAUUGAAAGAGCCACUCAAAUACAGUAUAUAAAUCUGGAGUGCUGUUUGUUUUCAGUGAGAAGCAGCUGAUGGAUCACCACAUGGAGUCUGGUUUAAGCGAGGAGGCGAGGCAAAGAGUAAAAGAAACACAUCCAAAACUCAAAGUUCUGGCCAGAAUUUGUAAAAAGUUUGUGAACAGUGUUAAUAAAAUCAUCUUAAACUUA